AUCUCCGCGUCACAGAGACAGCUGCUAUACAGCAAAUGAGAAGUCGGGCUGAGACUGAAACUCACCACUCCAGGGUGUGUGGUGCCCAGCUGCCCCCAAAGACUCAUCAUGUGACUGUAGAUGGAGAGAAGCUUCAUGGACCAGUGCGGUGCAGACACUGUAUGAGGAGUGCAACUGUAGGGAUGGAGUGUACCCAUCGCUAUAUACAAGAGGUCCCAACUGCAGCUCUAAGUCCUAAUACGACAAGCUGCCGGAAAUGAGAUUAAGUAAAUUACCCAGGAUUGCACAGCUAGGAAGGGACAGAGGCCAGGUUUGAACCCUCCUGAUUCCAGGAAUCUUGGGUUACCCAAAGGGCCAUGGAGAGAUAUGAGGGUGCUAACAAGAAUCUUGGGUUACCCAAAGGGCCAUGGAGAGAUACAAGGAGGGUGCUAACAAGAAUCUUGGGUUACCCAAAGGGCCAUGGAGAGAUACAAGGAGGGUGCUAACAAGUAUUCCAUGUGAACUGGAAGGACCUCCAGGAAUUGAUGCAGAGUGAAAGGAGCAGAAUCAGAACAUUGUACACAGUGACUGAUACGUUGUGGCACAAUCGAAUGUAAUGGACUUCUCUACUAGUAGCAAUGCAAUGAAUGACCCAGGACAAUUCAAAGGAAAGUAGGAGAAAGAAAACUAUCCACACAUCCAGGGAAAGAAAUGUGGGAGCAGAAACACCAAAUGAAAAACACAAGAUCAAUCAUGUGGUUAGACAGGGAUAUGAUUAGGGUUUUGAUGUUAAAGAAUCCCUCUACUGCAAAUAUGAGUAACAUGGAAAUAGGUUUUUCUACAAUGAAACACAUACAACUCUGGGAUUUUUCAUCAGCUCAGGAAGGGGAGGGAAUCAUAAAUCAUGUAACCUUGGAAAAAUAUUCUAAAGAAAAAAAAAAGACAAAACUCCAUUUAUACCUAUGCUUUCCAGUGCUUUUAAUAAGUGUUAUAUUCUAUCAAUGGCAUCUUCUGCAUUUAUUGAUAUAAUCAGUUACUACCUUUGUUAUUAAUAUAAUCAAUUAUGUUGGUCCUUUUCCUUAUAUUAAACCAUUCCUGUAUUCCUGGUAUAAAUACUAUUUGGUUACAAAGUAUAAUCUUAGUGAUGUAUUUAGGACUUAUGUAUCCAUAUUUAUUUAAAUUUCUUCCUGUUUUUGCUCUUCUUGGUUUAGGUAAUCAGUACCAUAUUUGCUUCAUAAAAGUAUUUUGAUAACUUU